GGCCCAGUAGCGGAUGGUCCGCGCCUGCUUCUUAUACCCAACCGGAAUACUGGAAAAUUCUGCAGGGGACGUUCGUUCGACUCGAGCCUGGGCCA